UUUUUUUUCUUUUUUGUUUUUCUUUGUUAUAAAGAUGGCAUUUUUCCCCCAUUUGCCUGCUGGGUGGGAUUUCAGUCUAGAGGUGAGAUUUCAGGUUCAACAACAAAUGCGGUUCAUAUUGUAUUGAAAGUUCCAUCAAGUCGGAGGUGAGAAACAACACUUUCAGUGGAUGCGAAAA